rnacentral:tRNA from 1 species
GGUCGUAUAGCUCAGCUGGUUAGAGCGCUACGUUGACAUCGUAGAGGUCCCCGGUUCGAAUCCAGGUACGGCCACCA